AUGAGGUUGUUCAUCACAAGCCACCACCACCUAUGGAAGCUUCCAGACGUUUUUUUGGUGAGCUAUCUUGAUUCCCUCAUUGGCAUUAAGUCAGAUGUCAUAGCUGAUCCAAAUAAGGGAAAAUCUAUCGUCAUUUAUGAAAAUAAUUUCAGUAGGCUGCAUGUGAUAAUGAGUGUUGAGGCCAAGUGGAUUGCUCCAAAAUCUGGUUGGGUAAAACUUUCCACUGAUGGGUCCUAUGAUGAGAUGGUUCAGCUGGUGCUGUGA
rnacentral:rRNA from 1 species